UAUGUUACCGCGUAACCUCUUAGGAACUAUUUACAUCAUAUAAUCUAUAUAUUAUGUUAGCUGCCAAUAUUCCACUUAGUGUUCGGUGAUUUCUCGAAACAGUAAGAUAGCAAUUCAAUUCAUCAUUUACAUAUCUCUGCAUUUGCAAAUCCAGACGGUGUUAACUGUACUAUUGUUACAAAUUGUUAAUUGUUACAAAGUACUGUAAUUAUAAUAAACACAUCAUUGUAAUCUAUAGAAAUGCUUCAAGUGGGAAUUAGUAUGGCAUUUUCACAUAUCUUAUUAAACAGAUUAAUAUUUAUCAUGAUAAUUAUACUAUCUACUGCAAAAUUUACGAAAAAUGACACUGAACUUAAUUACAAUGUUUUGAAUGGCACUUUUAAACCACUGCAUUAUGGUGUCAAAAUAGAAUAUGACGUAUACAGAAAUAUCUUUCUUGGAGAGUGCAAUAUCACCAUCCAGAUUAAUCGCCCAACGGAAAAUAUAACUAUAAACGCAAACACUAUCUUCAUAAAUCAAAUUGAUCUGUUUGACAACGAUAAUAAUAAGAUAUUCAGCAUCCAAAAGUUUUCAUUUAUCAAUGAAUUUAAAAAAAAGUAUAUUCAUCUUGAUUUUAUCAAGUUAUCAGGGGAUGUUUUAUAUCCUGAUAGGUAUAUCUUAAAAUUCAAAUAUAUCGGUAUGAUAUCAGAAGACGAAAUGGACGCAGACAAAGAAAAGGACAUAAUAUUAAACAAGGAAAGCAUUGAAGUAAUAAAAGCAGUUGAAUUAUUUCCAUAUUGGAACGAGGCAAUAUUUAAAACAACCUUUAACAUUUCUAUCAAGCAUCAUAAAGACUAUAAGUUUUUAUCGACUAUGCCGAUACGAAUACAAGUUGAAAACUUGGAUGACACUCUGUGGACUUACUUUGACAAAUCACCUUUAAUGUUUCCUGAACAUUUAACAAUUGUGAUAUCCACAUUCACUAAUUUUUUUGUUUCUACUAGAAAUGUCAAAUUUUGGUAUAAAAAAGAAGUGAUUGACCAAAUGCGAUUCGCAGAAAACAUUGUCCGAGUAGUUCUAUACUAUUUGAAACUAAAAAGUAGAGGAAUUAUAUAUUUACCCA